ACAUCUUUGCCUUACCAAACUAUAAACUGAGUGAGUAUGACACUACAAAUAUACUGCCCAAAGAAUUAUCCAAAAAAUAUUGAAUACUGUUUUUUUUCUUUUUGCCAGUCCUGGGACUUGAACUCAGGGCCUGAGCACUGUCCCUGGCUUCUUUUUGCUAAAGGUUAGCACUCUACCACUUGAGCCACAGUGCCACUUUCAGCUUAUUUUGUAUAUGUGGUGCAGAGGAAAAUUUUGAAGCUCCAUCACAAAGGGAGAAGAUGUGCUGCUAGUUUGUGCCUGUCACACCAUUUUAAGAGUGGUAAUUUAGGUGCAUAGCAGUAUAGGCGAGUGACAUGAAAAAAAAAAAAAAUCCUAUCCCAAAAUAAU